GUACACUCCUACGGGAGGCAGCAGUGGGGAAUUUUGGACAAUGGGCGAAAGCCUGAUCCAGCAAUGCCGCGUGUGUGAAGAAGGCCUUCGGGUUGUAAAGCACUUUUGUCCGGAAAGAAAUCCUUGGCUCUAAUACAGUCGGGGGAUGACGGUACCGGAAGAAUAAGCACCGGCUAACUACGUGCCAGCAGCCGCGGUAAUACGUAGGGUGCGAGCGUUAAUCGGAAUUACUGGGCGUAAAGCGUGCGCAGGCGGUUUGCUAAGACCGAUGUGAAAUCCCCGGGCUCAACCUGGGAACUGCAUUGGUGACUGGCAGGCUAGAGUAUGGCAGAGGGUGGUAGAAUUCCACGUGUAGCAGUGAAAUGCGUAGAGAUGUGGAGGAAUACCGAUGGCGAAGGCAGCCCCCUGGGCCAAUACUGACGCUCAUGCACGAAAGCGUGGGGAGCAAACAGGAUUAGAAACCCUAGUAGUCCCAUGA
rnacentral:rRNA from 1 species